rnacentral:rRNA from 1 species
CCUACGGGUGGCUGCAGUGGGGAAUUUUCCGCAAUGGGCGAAAGCCUGACGGAGCAACGCCGCGUGAGGGAGGAAGGUCUUUGGAUUGUAAACCUCUUUUCUCAAGGAAGAAGUUCUGACGGUACUUGAGGAAUCAGCCUCGGCUAACUCCGUGCCAGCAGCCGCGGUAAUACGGGGGAGGCAAGCGUUAUCCGGAAUUAUUGGGCGUAAAGCGUCCGCAGGUGGUCAGCCAAGUCUGCUGUCAAAUCAGGUUGCUUAACGACCUAAAGGCGGUGGAAACUGGCAGACUAGAGAGCAGUAGGGGUAGCAGGAAUUCCCAGUGUAGCGGUGAAAUGCGUAGAGAUUGGGAAGAACAUCGGUGGCGAAAGCGUGCUACUGGGCUGUAUCUGACACUCAGGGACGAAAGCUAGGGGAGCGAAAGGGAUUA